AACUCGUGUUGUGAGCAUAAACUGACGAGAUCCUUGAACCGCUCCCAAAAUUGGAAGAAUUUUUCAUCUUCCUUUUGGGCGAAGUUCAUGAUCGAUUUCUUGAUGGU